rnacentral:misc_RNA from 1 species
UCUCCGUAGGUGAACCUGCGGAGGGAUCAUUACUGAGUGAGGGCUUCGGUCCGACCUCCAACCCUUUGUGAACCAAACUUGUUGCUUCGGGGGCGACCCUGCCGCUGGAACCACAUCAAAACCUUUUUGCAUCCAGCAUUACCUGUUCCGAUACCUAUAAUCGUUACAACUUUCAACAAUGGAUCUCUUGGCUCUGGCAUCGAUGAAGAACGCAGC